rnacentral:rRNA from 1 species
GAUGAACGCUAGCUACAGGCUUAACACAUGCAAGUCGAGGGGUAACGAGAGGAAAGCUUGCUUUCCUUGUCGACGACCGGCGCACGGGUGAGUAACGCGUAUCCAACCUGCCCCCAACUAGGGAAUAACCUUGCGAAAGUAAGACUAAUACCCUAUAAUUUCCUCAGAUGACAUCUGACGAGGAAUAAAGAUUUAUCGGUUGUGGAUGGGGAUGCGUCUGAUUGGCUUGUUGGCGGGGUAACGGCCAACCAAGGCAACGAUCAGUAGGGGUUCUGAGAGGAAGGUCCACCACAUUGGAACUGAGACACGGUCCAAACUCCUACGGGAGGCAGCAGUGAGGAAUAUUGGUCAAUGGGCGAAAGCCUGAACCAGCCAAGUAGCGUGCAGGAUGACGGCCCUAUGGGUUGUAAACUGCUUUUAUACAGGAAUAAAGUUAGCCACGUGUGGUUAUUUGUAGGUACUGUAUGAAUAAGGACCGGCUAAUUCCGUGCCAGCAGCCGCCGUAA